GGGGACGCCAAGGUUUCGACGGGGACUCUGAAACAGGUUUAGCGGGCAGAGGCGCAUACCCUCUUUAAAAUGUGCAGUUUAUAAAUUAAACAACAACUCUAAAGUAGCUUACGCUGCCUAAUUAAAGGCGGCCGUCCUCGCCGGAAGGGCCACGAGCCGGAUGAGGGCGUGGAUUAGUGGCGUCCGUGAGUACGCAAAGCUUUGAGCGUGCCAUGCAUCAUGAAGCUACCAAUGGGUAAAGCCUGACGAGCGGCGUUGCCCUGCGGGAAUGUAAAAGAUCGUCUGCGCCCGGAGAAGGACCUGUGGAUCGGUUUUCGGACAGGGGUUCGAUUCCCCUCGUCUCCACCA
rnacentral:tmRNA from 1 species